rnacentral:pre_miRNA from 1 species
AUAUAAGUCACUGGGGAAUCUUGCUAAAAUGCAGACUAUCAUUCAAUAAGCCUAAGAGGGAUCUGAAAUUCUGUAUUUCUAACAAGUUCCCAAGUGAUGCCAAU